UACAGAGGUGGCAAGCGUUGUUCGGAAUUACUGGGCGUAAAGGGCGCGUAGGCGGUUCGUUAAGUCCUGUGUGAAAUCCCCCGGCUCAACUGGGGAACUGCACAGGAAACUAGCGGGCUUGAGUUCGGGAGAGGGAAGCGGAAUUCCGGGUGUAGCGGUGAAAUGCGUAGAUAUCGGGAGGAACACCGGCGGCGAAGGCGGCUGCCUGGACCGGCCCUGACGCUGAGGCGCGAAGCUAGGGGAGCAAACAGG
rnacentral:rRNA from 1 species